GUAACAAUUAAGUCAAGGGUCGAAUUCACCAGAAGCCUCAAAAGAACAGAGGACAUGGAAAACUUCAUGUCCCUUUGAUUUAGUCAAAAACUCCAUAUUUUAAGAAGUGCCCAGUUUGCAGAAUGAAUGAAUGACCCUUAACGGAAGGCUAUCUCUGAUUCUCUUCACAUAACCUUUCCCAGAGUGAUUUCUACCCUGGCUCAAGGCAGUGAUUCAUGAAAGGAAAGUGGUAGGAAGUGAACAUCUUAAAAGUGGUGAGUAUCAGACCAUAAGCUCAGAGGAUGGCAAAUGAGGAACAAGAUUGGGAACAGACAUUAGCAUGUACUCAAAUGGCUUGCACAUUAGAAGCUGCAUGCCCUCCCCCACCCCAAUUAGAGUGGAGGGAAAUCUUUGUGCAGGCUUGGCUCUUUCCUCUGUGUCUGAACCUGCCUUUGCCUGGCUGGCCUGCAUGUCCCUUUGGAAUUGAUAAUGAGGUUCAAGAGAGAAGUAUAGCCCUCACUAAGCAUGUCACCCCCAUUUAGCACCUUUUCCAGGAUGGCAGCCACUAUUGUUUUAUUAUGUCCCUGAUCAGCUGUCACUAUUCAUAAAGUAAUCACUGCCAUUAACACGUCACGCCUCAAGCCAUCUGCUGCUGC